CAGCUACGUCGAUCCUUGUAUGGACUGAAACAGGUUCCCUCGCAUGGUCUGAUAAAUUUCGCUCUACCCUGCUUGCUUUUCAUUUUACUCAAGAGUCAGUUUCAUUCCUCUCUUUUUCUUCGCAAGACUUCUGCAGGAAUUGUAUUACUUCCGGUAUAUGUUGAUGACAUUGUGAUUACUGGAUCUGAUACUGAGUUAAUUAAGCAAUUACAACAGUAUCUUAAGGCCUCUUUUCACAUGAAAGAUCUUGGUCCCUUGCAGUACUUUCUUGGCCUUGAGGUGCAGAUUACUCCGACUAGUACGUUGUUACACCAGCACAAAUAUACGUAAGAAGUGAUUUCAUUGGCUGGUCUCCAAUCAGGUAACUCUGUUCUUACUCCAUUGGAGGUAAAUCUUAAGCUUCGUCAGGAAGAAGACGAGCUUAUAUCAGAUCCAUCCUUGUAUCGGCAGCUUGUUAGGAGUUUGAACUACUUGACGACUACUCGUCCUGAUAUUUUUUUUUGCUGUGCAGCAAAUUAGUCAAUUUAUGCACACUCCUAGACAUCUUCAUUUAGCCACUGUUUGCCGCAUUAUUUGCUAUAUGAAGGGCACCUCUAAUCGAGGGAUAUUCUUUCCUCAGGAGUCUUCUCUACAAUUGGUGGGGUAUAGUGAUGUUGAUUGGGCUGGUUGUGCGGAUACUCAUCGAUCUAUAAUAGGGUGGUGCAUGUUCUUAGGCAAUGCACUUAUUUCUUGGAAGAGUAAGAAGCAAGACCGCGUUUCCAAGUCUUCCACGAAAUCUGAAUAUCGUGCUAUGCCUUUUGCUUGCUCUGAGAUCACGUGGCUUCGUGGGUUAUUGGGUGAACUUGGGUUUCCUUAGCGUCAUUCCACUCCUCUUCUUGCUGACAAUACCGGUGCUAUUCAGAUUGCCGCUAAUCCUGUUUUUCAUGAGCUUACGAAACACAUCGAAGUUGAUUGUCAUUCUAUCUAUGAAGCUUUUGACAAGCAUGUGAUUACUCUUCCUCACAUUUCCACUACACUUCAAAUGGCUGACAUCUUCACUAAAGCUCUUCCUUGGCAUCGACAUCAAUUCUUGAUUGACAAAUUGAUGCUUUUAGAUCUCCCAGCAUCAAUUUGAGGGGGGAUGUUACAUAGAUAGAAUUUGGGCAUAAUUAUUGUAAUUUAGUAAUACUUUCCUUUCUAGCUAGCAAAUACAUAACUGUCAAUUAUCUUGUAAAUACUUACCUUGUAUAGAAGAUUUAGGUGCUGGAAAUAUGGCAGUAAUGGUGUAAAUAUUCUUAUAUAAUGAAAGCAAACCCUAUGGAAAGGGUUUUCAGAGCAAAAUUGACAUAUGAGAUACUUGUGAACCUAACACGUAUAUGACACGAAAUAAAUGGGUUUAGUUCAAAACAACUUGACUCGAUAAGGCACGAUUGAUAAACGAGUCAAUUGCUGGUUAAUCAACGUGCAUACCACGAAUAAAUUCUAUCUUCAAAUUCUAUAAAUUUUUAGUACAUUUAAUAUGUCUUUGUUGUUGUUGAGAUGUAAUAUUAAUAUUAGUAUUUGACUAUUUAAUAUAAUAUAUCAAACUAUUAAACUUUUUUUGUUAAUAUGUAAUUUUAUUAUUUGGAGAUAUUAAUUUUCUUUUAUAUUAUUGGUUUGGAUAUUGAUCAUAAAAUACUUUAUCAUGAAUCUAGUUGUAAUUGUGAAUGACUUGUACAGUUAUCAUUGUAUUAUAUAUGAAAUUAUGUUAAAUGGGUCAAAAUAAAUAUACGGGUUAGCUCAACCCAUUUAUAUGUAACUGGUCAAAACAGGUUGAAAUAGGUCAUGUUUAGGUUAACCAGUAAGAUUUUAUUAUUAAAAUUUUGAUUAUUAAACGGGUUAUACGGGUCAUGUUGUAUCAUCAGUUAUUUAUAUGGGGUGUGUUAGGGUUUUAGGGUUUGAUCCGUUUAAUUAAAUGGGUUGGGUUUGAGUUGAUCCUUAUAGUCGAAUACUCAUGACUUGACACGACAUGAACACGAAUUGCUACCCCUAGCAUAAGCUCUUAGCUCUUGUGACAAUGGUAGAGAUGUCAUAUAUAGAGGAGUGCAAUGAGAAAAGAGUUUGGUCCUAUCAAUGGCUGCUUGAUAGUAAGAGACGUAAAAUAUGCUAAAAAAGAUAAGAUAGCAGCUGAUUGAAAUGAAAGAUGACAUCGUUUCCAUAUUAAAGAAGAUGGACUCAGGUUUGGGCUUGGGUGAAAGUGGUUUAUUUAUCAACUGAGAUGCUGAGAAGAGGCCUAAGGAUGGAGAGUCCAAUUCUAGCACAGUGGGGAGCAAAGGUCCAGCUCAUGUAUUAACUGAAAUAAAAGGUCCAAGCAGAAGUGGGCCAAAUUUAACCAAGUCCAAUAAAGGGAAAAUUUAGACCAGCCUGUGUACUUUAACCUGGCCUAGGCAUUAGUGGUGGGCCAAAAGACAAUUUGGCCAUCGUUAUUUGAGAUGGGCUCCACAUUAGGUAUUAGCUAUGGGAUGGCUGAAACUCUGAUUCCUCAGCCGGGGGUGGCACAGAAAGGGUUGGGUGUGAGCAGUGCACAUUUGGUGACCAUACGAUCUGAUGUCUUGCUGGCACUCUUGCCAGAGACGAAGGACCAAGGUGAGGCACCGAGGCUUGGAAAUGACAUUGGGUCUGCUGCCAACCCAUAUUUGUUGGAGGCAGUCUUGAGGGGUUCAAGAGGUGAAGACAAGCCUCUUUAUGCUCCAUCCAAGAAAGGGAAGUUCAAUGUCCAUUCAUUCCACGAAGUUCUUAUCUCUUAUAAUACCACCCGCCCAUUCCUUGGAAGAGAAUAUGGAAAGACUAAGCCCAUGUUGGGUUACUAGGUUUUUCCAGAAUUUUUCAAAAAUUUUUACAUUUUUUUUUUUUUUAACUUCAAUUCAUUUUAAAUCUCAAAACCUUUUUUCUAUUUCUUCAAAAAAAUUUCCAUUUAAUCAAUUGCAUAGGUUUCCGUGAAAAAUAGAAAACACAAAAACCAACCCCUAGGGGUUGACUCAAGUGGUAAGGGUUUUGGUCUUGGUGGUAUGCUCCAUCAAGGUGUAAAGUUCGAAUCCUCUUGAGUGCAAAUAAUUUCUAGGGGCCAUUGGACUAGGGUGAUUUUUCUUUGAAUUAUCCAAAGUCCACUUGUGGAACUGUUUGCCUAGGGCUUGUGCAUCCUUGGGAUUAGUUGGGACUUUGUUUUCGGACACCCAGUGCCAAUAAAACAACUUUUACAAGAGCACAAGAGGUACCCCAAAAAAUUAUAUUCAAACUUUUCAAAUCUACCUACCUACUUUCAAAAACCCCAAUAAAACAUAUUUUGAAAAACUUUUAUCCAAAAUUUCCUAUCUAGUUUCACAAAACUCAUAAAAAACAUAUCUCAAAACUUUUGUAAAUUCUUAUUUAUUUUUAUAAGUAAUAAGAAAAUUCUAUUGACUGGUAAAUAGACACAGGCCAAGUACACAAGAAGUGGACAAGAGAAAACACCUAAAUACAAGCUAGGAACUAGAAAAGGAACUAGAAUAGGCUAGAAGCAAAUCAUGAAAAUGAUCUCCAUUCAAUACAAGAGCCUUGCCCAAAUGCACAAAGUACUAAAUAAAAACUCUCUAAGUUCUCCCAUCGAGCGUUCUCUAUCUUUAAAGCACCGCCCAUUCCUUCCCAACCUUAAGCACCAUGUCAAACAUAAAGGAAUCAUCUUCUAUAUAGCAACAA